GAGAGAGAAAUUAUUUAUAGGUAAAUAUUUAAUAGUAUUAGUUGUACAACACAAGCAUGCAUAACAAAGUUCAGCUACUAGACUCUCUCGUAGCGGCACAAAACGUAAGAGCAGCCGACGAGGAGAGGCUGGUGCGACUUAAGUCUAUCAGUAAUUAAGAUACACACACACACACACAACACACACACACACACAUAUAUAUAUAUAUAUAUAUAUAUAUAUAUAUAUAUAUAUAUAUAUAUAUAGUACAUCCAACUGCCCAUUUCUUACUAGUAUAUGUAUAGCUAAUUUAUACUAGUAAUCUAUAAAUUACUAGUAUAUUAGUAGUACAGUACUAUACAUUCAUAAAUAGUGCUACUAUAUAUAUACGUUCACCAAUUAAGCCAUACGUAAUGGUUUUGUCAAAGGAUAAUCCUUAAUCAGUGCGCCUGCGCCACCACCAUAGAAAUUGGAAGGCUGGUAUGAGAACUCCAUAACCGUCUCCGUGGUGGCAGAAAGUAGUGGAGCCACCUGAAAAACCCGGGACUGCUGUGGUUGAUACUGAUACUUACAUAUUCGGUGUUCUUCUGAAAGAGUAGUAGUAGUACUAAUACUAUUCCUUCCCUUUCUUCCAAAGCCCUCAAACCCAAUCUUUUUAACAUGUCUCUCUGCCUUCUGUGCCAUAUCUAUACUCGUAGUAUUUUUUUUCAUAAAACUAUAUAAUAUAAGACUAAGCUAUUUAAUUAGUAAGUGUAGUAGUAAUCAGUAUCUUCUCUCUAAUUUGGUUUAUAAGCAAGCUAUAGAAUAACACCCUUUUUAUAUGGAAAGAUCGAUCAUUGAGAGGGAAUGACUUUUACAGGGGUAGUAUUGUCAAUUCACAGGAGUCGUCUGUCUGAACAAUCAAAUCGUACGCGGAU
rnacentral:lncRNA from 1 species